UGGGGAAUCUUGCACAAUGGGCGAAAGCCUGAUGCAGCGACGCCGCGUGCGGGAUGAAGGCCUUCGGGUUGUAAACCGCUUUCAGCAGGGACGAGGCGAAAGUGACGGUACCUGCAGAAGAAGCCCCGGCUAACUACGUGCCAGCAGCCGCGGUAAUACGUAGGGGGCAAGCGUUAUCCGGAUUCAUUGGGCGUAAAGCGCUCGUAGGCGGUCUGUUAGGUCGGGAGUUAAAUCCGGGGGCUCAACCCCCGCUCGCUCUCGAUACCGGCAGACUUGAGUUUGGUAGGGGAAGGUGGAAUUCCUAGUGUAGCGGUGGAAUGCGCAGAUAUUAGGAAGAACACCAGUGGCGAAGGCGGCCUUCUGGGCCAUAACUGACGCUGAGGAGCGAAAGCUAGGGGAGCAAACAGGAUUAGAUACCCUGGUAGUCCUAGCCGUAAACGAUGGACACUAGGUGUGGGGGAGUAUUUCUUCCGUGCCGCAGCUAACGCAUUAAGUGUCCCGCCU
rnacentral:rRNA from 1 species